rnacentral:rRNA from 1 species
CCCUUAGAGUUUGAUCCUGGCUCAGGAUGAACGCUGGCGGCGUGCUUAACACAUGCAAGUCGAGCGAAGCACUUAGGAAAGAUUCUUCGGAUGAUUUCCUUUGUGACUGAGCGGCGGACGGGUGAGUAACGCGUGGGUAACCUGCCUCAUACAGGGGGAUAACAGUUAGAAAUGACUGCUAAUACCGCAUAAGACCACGGUACCGCAUGGUACAGUGGUAAAAACUCCGGUGGUAUGAGAUGGACCCGCGUCUGAUUAGGUAGUUGGUGGGGUAACGGCCUACCAAGCCGACGAUCAGUAGCCGACCUGAGAGGGUGACCGGCCACAUUGGGACUGAGAUACGGCCCAGACUCCUACGGGAGGCAGCAGUGGGGAAUAUUGCACAAUGGAGGAAACUCUGAUGCAGCGACGCCGCGUGAAGGAUGAAGUAUUUCGGUAUGUAAAC